rnacentral:rRNA from 1 species
UGGGGAAUUUUGGACAAUGGGCGAAAGCCUGAUCCAGCAAUGCCGCGUGUGUGAAGAAGGCCUUCGGGUUGUAAAGCACUUUUGUCCGGAAAGAAAUCCUUGGCUCUAAUACAGUCGGGGGAUGACGGUACCGGAAGAAUAAGCACCGGCUAACUACGUGCCAGCAGCCGCGGUAAUACGUAGGGUGCAAGCGUUAAUCGGAAUUACUGGGCGUAAAGCGUGCGCAGGCGGUUUGCUAAGACCGAUGUGAAGUCCCCGGGCUCAACCUGGGAACUGCAUUGGUGACUGGCAGGCUAGAGUAUGGCAGAGGGGGGUAGAAUUCCACGUGUAGCAGUGAAAUGCGUAGAGAUGUGGAGGAAUACCGAUGGCGAAGGCAGCCCCCUGGGCCAAUACUGACGCUCAUGCACGAAAGCGUGGGGAGCAAACAGGAUUAGAUACCCUGGUAGUCCACGCCCUAAACGAUGUCAACUAGUUGUUGGGGAUUCAUUUCCUUAGUAACGUAGCUAACGCGUGAAGUUGACCGCCUGGGGAGUACGGUCGCAAGAUUAAAACUCAAAGGAAUUGACGGGGUCAUAGCUGUUUCCU